rnacentral:siRNA from 1 species
AGCCAUAAACAUCAUACGUUCACA